rnacentral:rRNA from 1 species
AAGGAAUAUUGGUCAAUGGACGCAAGUCUGAACCAGCCAUGCCGCGUGAAGGAUUAAGGCCCUCUGGGUUGUAAACUUCUUUUAUCUGGGACGAAAAAAGGUCUUUCUAGACCGUCUGACGGUACCAGAUGAAUAAGCACCGGCUAACUCCGUGCCAGCAGCCGCGGUAAUACGGAGGGUGCAAGCGUUAUCCGGAUUCACUGGGUUUAAAGGGUGCGUAGGUGGGUUGGUAAGUCAGUGGUGAAAUCUUCGAGCUUAACUCGGAAACUGCCAUUGAUACUAUCAGUCUUGAAUAUUGUGGAGGUUAGCGGAAUAUGUCAUGUAGCGGUGAAAUGCUUAGAUAUGACAUAGAACACCAAUUGCGAAGGCAGCUGGCUACACAUAUAUUGACACUGAGGCACGAAAGCGUGGGGAUCAAACA